CUACACAUGCAGUCGAGCGGUAGAGAGAAGCUUGCUUCUCUUGAGAGCGGCGGACGGGUGAGUAAUGCCUAGGAAUCUGCCUGGUAGUGGGGGAUAACGUUCGGAAACGGACGCUAAUACCGCAUACGUCCUACGGGAGAAAGCAGGGGACCUUCGGGCCUUGCGCUAUCAGAUGAGCCUAGGUCGGAUUAGCUAGUUGGUGAGGUAAUGGCUCACCAAGGCGACGAUCCGUAACUGGUCUGAGAGGAUGAUCAGUCACACUGGAACUGAGACACGGUCCAGACUCCUACGGGAGGCAGCAGUGGGGAAUAUUGGACAAUGGGCGAAAGCCUGAUCCAGCCAUGCCGCGUGUGUGAAGAAGGUCUUCGGAUUGUAAAGCACUUUAAGUUGGGAGGAAGGGCAGUUACCUAAUACGUGAUUGUUUUGACGUUACCGACAGAAUAAGCACCGGCUAACUCUGUGCCAGCAGCCGCGGUAAUACAGAGGGUGCAAGCGUUAAUCGGAAUUACUGGGCGUAAAGCGCGCGUAGGUGGUUUGUUAAGUUGGAUGUGAAUCCCCG
rnacentral:rRNA from 1 species